rnacentral:rRNA from 1 species
GUGGGGAAUAUUGGACAAUGGGCGAAAGCCUGAUCCAGCAAUGCCGCGUGAGUGAAGAAGGCCUUCGGGUUGUAAAGCUCUUUUACCCGGGAAGAUAAUGACUGUACCGGGAGAAUAAGCCCCGGCUAACUCCGUGCCAGCAGCCGCGGUAAUACGGAGGGGGCUAGCGUUGUUCGGAAUUACUGGGCGUAAAGCGCACGUAGGCGGUCUUUUAAGUCAGAGGUGAAAGCCCGGGGCUCAACUCCGGAAUUGCCUUUGAAACUGGGAGACGUGAACACGGGAGAGGUGAGUGGAAUUCCGAGUGUAGAGGUGAAAUUCGUAGAUAUUCGGAGGAACACCAGUGGCGAAGGCGGCUCACUGGACCGUUGUUGACGCUGAGGUGCGAAAGCGUGGGGAGCAAACAGGAUUAGAUACCCGGGUAGUCC